rnacentral:rRNA from 1 species
AUUGAACGCUGGCGGCAUGCCUUACACAUGCAAGUCGAACGGUAACGGGCCUUCGGGUGCCGACGAGUGGCGAACGGGUGAGUAAUACAUCGGAACGUGCCCGAUCGUGGGGGAUAACGAGGCGAAAGCUUUGCUAAUAUCGCAUACGAUCUACGGAGGAAAGCAGGGGACCGCAAGGCCUUGCGCGGACGGAGCGGCCGAUGGCAGAUUAGCUAGUUGGUGGGGUAAAAGCUUACCAAGCCGACGAUCUGUAGCUGGUCUGAGAGGAUGAUCAGCCACACUGGGACUGAGACACGGCCCAGACUCCUACGGGAGGCAGCAGUGGGGAAUUUUGGACAAUGGGCGCAAGCCUGAUCCAGCCAUGCCGCGUGCAGGAUGAAGGCCUUCGGGUUGUAAACUGCUUUUGUACGGAACGAAAAGCAUUCUUUUAAUACAGGAGGGUCAUGACGGUACCGUAAGAAUAAGCACCGGCUAACUACGUG